rnacentral:rRNA from 1 species
UACGAAGGGGGCUAGCGUUGUUCGGAAUUACUGGGCGUAAAGGGCUCGUAGGCGGCCAACUAAGUCAUACGUGAAAUCCCUCAGCUUAACUGGGGAACUGCGUGUGAUACUGGAUGGCUUGGAUUUGGGAGAGGGAUGCGGAAUUCCUGGUGUAGCGGUGAAAUGCGCAGAUAUCAGGAGGAACACCGGUGGCGAAGGCGGUUCUCUGGGCAUUACCUGACGCUGAGGAGCGAAAGUGUGGGGAGCGAACAGG